rnacentral:rRNA from 1 species
AGGACGAACGCUGGCGGCGUGCCUAAUACAUGCAAGUCUAAGGGGUUUAGAUCCUUCGGGAUCUAAAUCACUGGCGCACGGGUGAAUAACGCGUAAGUAAUCUGCCCCUGGGUCUGGCAUAACCUCGGGAAACCGGGACUAAUUCCAGAUGAUACCGAAAGGUCAAAGAAUUUCGCCCAGGGAUGAGCUUGCGUCUGAUUAGCUAGUUGGCGGGUAAUGGCCCGCCAAGGCGACGAUCAGUAGCCGGUCUGAGAGGAUGAUCGGCCACAUUGGACUGAGACACG